AUGGAGUCGCAGAUGUCCGCAGAUGUCGUCCUCGCCGGCGCCAAAGCGCGGAGCUUUCGCUCGACAGCUCACCCGUGCCACCACGGGGAACCCAGAACAGUCACGGUGAGAACCGGCCUCCAAAUCCGGAUCUGGGCAACGGGAAAUGCACCCAAACAACCCUCCGCUACACCCCUCGCCGCCAGGCGACCGAGAAACGUAGCCACUACUAUCACCAUGGAGCCUGCCAGAAAGCCACCAUACGGACCACCAUCAGGGGCUACCGCCCCGGCAUCCAUGUCCGUAGUUACAGCCAGCCAUCAACAUCUCAACGCACAUGCCAUGGUGGGAAGAGUGGAAGACACAUCCUUUCGGUCCUAG
rnacentral:rRNA from 1 species